rnacentral:rRNA from 1 species
UACGUAGGGCGCAAGCGUUGUCCGGAAUUAUUGGGCGUAAAGAGCUCGUAGGCGGCUUGUCACGUCGGGUGUGAAAGCUCGGGGCUUAACCCCGGGUCUGCAUUCGAUACGGGCUGGCUGGAGUGUGGUAGGGGGAGAUCGGAAUUCCUGGUGUAGCGGUGAAAUGCGCAGAUAUCAGGAGGAACACCGGUGGCGAAGGCGGAUCUCUGGGCCAUUACUGACGCUGAGGAGCGAAAGCGUGGGGAGCGAACAGG